AUAAAAGAAUACUUUCACCGGGACUACCUUGACAAGUUCAUGUGUCCAUGAGAUGAGAAUAGAGGAAAAAAAGUACAGGAACAAGUUCCGGCGAUGAGAAGAAGAAUGACAGAAGCAUUCCAUAAUUUAUCUUAAGGCGGCAAUAAUUUGUGUGUCUGGAGACGCGCUUUGCAGGGAAAAGAAUCAAGACUCGCUGAGAGAUGCUUGGUCAGAUCGUUCUUCACUGCUUGGGGGCCGGCAACAGUGCACAGAUCCACAUGACCUCCCGGAAACCGGGACUGUGGUGGCCCCCUAAACCUGGAAAACUCCUAUUCAUCCUUCAGGACCCAGCCAGUGCCUCCUUCUUACGCAGGCCGCAGAAGAGGAGGUCGCUUCUGUUGCAUUUCCCCAGCCUCCGGUCUGGAAGGAGAAACACAAUUCAGCAAAGUUCCCUUCUCCGGCUCCGGCCCCACCUGUCACUAGGGGAGCCUCAGCCGCCCGACCUUCCACGGCUUCCUUCUGUAGUUUUCCUGAGUGUCUCCAGAAGGUGUCCUCUGUGUGCUCUCCUGUGGGCAGCUGUUUAUCUCCCGCAUGGCAUUUGUCAGCGCCCUUCUCCGCGGAGGGGGAGCAGGCUGCGGGGUACCCCCCCCCCCGGCUGCUGUCCGUGUCCCAGUGGUGUAACUGAGGCCACAGCACAGCGCCGCCUCCCGCUGCUGCGUGCUGAAAGCCGUGCUUGCUUUCCCACAAUCACGUGGUCUGGCUCCCAGAUCCGUGCUACAGAACAACUCCGAAAUGGGGACAAUGAGAGUCUAAGAAUACAGAUGGGCUAUGAAUAGCUCCCGCUCACCACGCCUUUCCUGUGGACGAGGAAGGGCGCUAUAAACCCUUCUGUGGAAUCCACGUUGUAAUCCCCGCGUUGAACCCUGGAUUGUUGCUAGUGAGGACCGCAACCCCCAGAGGCUCAGGGAGAUUCAGUAGCUUGCUUCGGUGUUCACAGCUGGUAACGGGCGGCUAGGAGUUUAAACCCGGGUCAGCUUGGCUCCAGAGUCCAGAACCUUCAUGUCCCUGCCUUGGUAUGCACACCAGCUCCCAUGAGACGGAGCGAUGCCCUCCUCAAUGCUUCCCAGUUCCCUUGGCAGUCCAUCAGCUGGAAGGCUCUAUCUUACCUCACAACAGCGCCUGGCUCUUAGUACAAGUUCAACAACGAUUAAAUGAGUGAAGAAAUAAAUAACUAGAGUCUUAGUCUCA
rnacentral:lncRNA from 1 species